UACGUAGGGGGCGAGCGUCAUCCGGAUUCACUGGGUGUAAAGGGAGCGUAGACGGCCAAGCAAGCCAGGGGUGAAAGCCCGGGGCCCAACCCCGGGACUGCCCUUGGAACUGCAUGGCUGGAGUGCGGGAGGGGCAGGCGGAAUUCCUGGUGUAGCGGUGAAAUGCGUAGAUAUCAGGAGGAACACCGGCGGCGAAGGCGGCCUGCUGGACCGCGACUGACGUUGAGGCUCGAAAGCGUGGGGAGCAAACAGG
rnacentral:rRNA from 1 species